CGCCUUUUGAAAUAUUCACAUAAAAGGUCCUGCCUGCCCAAUGACUUGUUUUAAUGGCCGCGGUAUUAUGACCGUGCAAAGGUAGCGUAAUCAUUUGUCUUUUAAAUAAAGACCAGUAUGAAUGGCAAGACGAAAGCCCCACUGUCUCCCUAAUCCAAUCAAUGAAAUUGAUCUUCCCGUGCAGAAGCGGGAAUAAUAAUAUAAGACGAGAAGACCCUGCGGAGCUUUAAACUCUAAUUAAUAAUUAUUAUUAUUAUAACAGUCAGUUUUAGGUUGGGGCGACCAUGAGGUAUAAUAUAACCCUCACAAUAAUUACCAAGAAGGACACUUCAAGCAACUAACACCAGCACUUUGACCCAACAAUUGAUCAACGAACCAAGUUACCCCAGGGAUAACAGCGCAAUCCGCUCAAAAAGUCCUUAUUGACGAGCAGGUUUACGACCUCGAUGUUGGAUCAGGACACCCAAAUAGUGCAACAGCCAUUAAAGGUUCGUUUGUUCAACGAUUAAAGUCCU
rnacentral:rRNA from 1 species